GAUGAACGCUGACAGAAUGCUUAACACAUGCAAGUCUACUGGAAGCUGGCUUCGGCCAGUGGAUGGUGGCGGACGGGUGAGUAACGCGUAAAGAACUUGCCUUACAGAUCGGGACAACAUUUGGAAACGAAUGCUAAUACCGGAUAUUAUGACAAUUUCGCAUGAAGGAGUCAUGAAAGCUAUAUGCGCUGUAAGAGAGCUUUGCGUCCCAUUAGCUAGUUGGAGAGGUAACGGCUCACCAAGGCGAUGAUGGGUAGCCGGCCUGAGAGGGUGAACGGCCACAAGGGGACUGAGACACGGCCCUUACUCCUACGGGAGGCAGCAGUGGGGAAUAUUGGACAAUGGACCAAAAGUCUGAUCCAGCAAUUCUGUGUGCACGAUGAAGUUUUUCGGAAUGUAAAGUGCUUUCAGUUGGGAAGAAGAAAGUGACGGUACCAACAGAAGAAGCGACGGCUAAAUACGUGCCAGCAGCCGCGGUAAUACGUAUGUCGCAAGCGUUAUCCGGAUUUAUUGGGCGUAAAGCGCGUCUAGGCGGCUAAAUAAGUCUGAUGUGAAAAUGCGGGGCUCAACUCCGUAUUGCGUUGGAAACUGUUUAGCUAGAGUACUGGAGAGGUAAGCGGAACUACAAGUGUAGAGGUGAAAUUCGUAGAUAUUUGUAGGAAUGCCGAUGGGGAAGCCAGCUUACUGGACAGAUACUGACGCUAAAGCGCGAAAGCGUGGGUAGCAAACAGG
rnacentral:rRNA from 1 species